AUCAGGUAGAUAGGUUCGAGGUGGAAGCGUGGCGACACGUGCAGCUGACGAAUACUAAUCGAUCGAGGACUUAACCCAAA
rnacentral:rRNA from 1 species